AGUGUGAUGUAAGGCUCAGCACCACCCUCUUUAUUUGGUAUAAAUACGAGAGCACGAAGCUUCUGUCUCAUCCACAAACUUGCAUCCUUCACAAGACGUCUUUUAAAGAAGGCAUUUUUGCUACCUGCUUCUUCAGUUACUUGUUAAGAACAAGAUGACCAGUAUACGUGAAGUUGGUGGAACGGGAGGAAAACCUUUCAAUUUUAAUGGCAUUGAAACUGGAACCUUGUUGAAAAGGAUCCAGGUUUGGGAAGGUGAUUCUCAGAUAAAAGCCGUGAUGGUGUGGCUUACUGAUGACCGGUCAGGACAGUUUGGUGUUAUGGCUGGGAGUCAGCGGGAGUUUACAUUUGAAAAAGAUGAGAUAUUUACCUCCCUUUCACUUUGGCCAGAUGAAGAUGGUACACAUCUGGGUGCCAUCAAAUUCACGACAAAUGUUGGGAAUCAGUUCUAUGCAAGCAUGAAAAGUGGUACGCUGCAAGCAGAAGUAAAAGUUGAUGUUGCCACUGGGAAAUGCAUUGGAAUCCAAGGACGUUCUGGGGCUGCCAUUAAUUCCUUCGGCUUCAUCAUGGUCAAGAUGCUAUCUGCUUAGCUUACCAAUGUGGUGCAUCCCACCGUUUCUAUAGUAAUUCUGAGUAAUGAACAAAACAUCUCAUUUGGUGAUUUUUAGAUCUAGUUCGACUGUAGCUUUGUGUAACAAUUUGAUUAUUUUCUUUUGACAUUUUCAGAUUAUAAUCUGUUAUGAUUUACAUCAAUAAAACAGUCUCAAUUGAAA